rnacentral:rRNA from 1 species
GAUGAACGCUGGCGGCGUGCCUAAUACAUGCAAGUCGAGCGAAUGGAUUAAGAGCUUGCUCUUAUGAAGUUAGCGGCGGACGGGUGAGUAACACGUGGGCAACCUGCCCAUAAGACUGGGAUAACUCCGGGAAACCGGGGCUAAUACCGGAUAACAUUUUGAGCCGCAUGGUUCGAAAUUGAAAGGCGGCUUCGGCUGUCACUUAUGGAUGGACCCGCGUCGCAUUAGCUAGUUGGUGAGGUAACGGCUCACCAAGGCAACGAUGCGUAGCCGACCUGAGAGGGUGAUCGGCCACACGGGGACUGAGACACGGCCCAGACUCCUACGGGAGGCAGCAGUAGGGAAUCUUCCGCAAUGGACGAAAGUCUGACGGAGCAACGCCGCGUGAGUGAUGAAGGCUUUCGGGUCGUAAAACUCUGUUGUUAGGGAAGAACAAGUGCUAGUUGAAUAAGCUGGCACCUUGACGGUACCUAACCAGAAAGCCACGGCUAACUACGUGCCAGCAGCCGCCGUAA